rnacentral:rRNA from 1 species
UCGCCGAAGGAACGGCCCGCGUCCGAUUAGCUUGUUGGUGAGGUAAUGGCUCACCAAGGCGACGAUCGGUAGCUGGUCUAAGAGGAUGAUCAGCCUCACUGGGACUGAGACACGGCCCAG